rnacentral:rRNA from 1 species
ACGGGGGCCCGCGACAAGCGGAGGAACAUGUGGUUUAAUUCGAUGAUACGCGAGGAACCUUACCUGGGCUUAAAUGUAGAGUGCAUUUUUUAGAGAUAGAAAUUCCCUUCGGGGCUUUCUGCAAGGUGCUGCAUGGUUGUCGUCAGCUCGUGCCGUGAGGUGUCGGGUUAAGUCCCAUAACGAGCGCAACCCUUAUCGUUAGUUGCCAGCUGGUAAAGCAGGGGACUCUAGCGAAACUGCCACCGUAAGGUGAGAGGAAGGUGGGGAUGACGUCAAAUCAGCACGGCCCUUAUGUCCAGGGCUACACACGUGUUACAAUGGCCGGCACAGAGGGCAGCUACCUGGUGACAGGAUGCUAAUCUCGAAAACCGGUCUCAGCUCGGAUCGAAGUCUGCAACUCGACUUCGUGAAGCUGGAUUCGCUAGUAAUCGCGCAUCAGCCAUGGCGCGGUGAAUACGUUCCCGGGCCUU